rnacentral:antisense_RNA from 3 species
AGCCGCGGCGGCCGUGCGCGGGCACGCUUCGGCGUGGCCGAGUCCAAGGGUAUUCGGUAUUCCUACCCCGCGCGCGGCUGCCACCCAA